UAGUUUAGCUUAUACAUACACUGUAUAAAGCCUGCAACAGCAUUAUAUGGAGCAUUUUAAAACACUAUGGGGAGAUUUAUCAACACAUCAGCUUCUUAUGCCCUUUCACACUGAGCGAAGAACCCAGGUAAACUGGUUUGAACGGGCCUGACCCGGGACUGUGCAGCGGUCUGAAAGGGGGUAUCGAAAUGACACACCUCGUAGAGAUUCUCUUUGUUUUGUGCACCUGGAAAAUGGAAAUUGAUGCCAGAAAACUCGCCCCCACAUGGCAAACUCUUAGCUGUGGGCAAAACCACAAGCUUCUGGGUAGGAGAAUCUUAGAAACUGGCUUGAUCCUGGCCAACCAGCUGCAGGCAUCCUAUGGGGAAGUGUUUAUGAACAAGUAAUUUAAAAGUCUUAGCUCAUUAGAUGCUGGUUAAUAAAAUAUUAAAACCCU